ensembl:snoRNA
GCAGAACCACCAUACCACCUUUAAACAUUAUGUCUACCUCACAGUGCUCCAUGCCAGAGCAGACUGUCUCCCCAAACCAUUCUCUGGCCUCUGUGGCGGUAGGCUCUGGGUAUUGAAGUGGGUUGCAGAGUA